rnacentral:pre_miRNA from 1 species
CAAGUACUCCCUCCAUCCGGAAUUACUUGUCAUCAAAAUGGAUGUGUCUAGAACUAAAAUACAUCUAGAUACAUCCAUUUCAAUGACAAGUAUUUCCAGACGGAGGGAGUACAAG